GAGCGAAGUGAUGGUAUACCAUCUUUCGGGACUGAAAGCCCUGAUGACAACUUGUAAAACUGAUCGCUC
rfam:Xenopus laevis strain J chromosome 5S, whole genome shotgun sequence.